rnacentral:lncRNA from 1 species
AAGGAGUUCCUACACAAAUACAAAUAAAAAGGAAAAUUCAAAGACAAAAAACAGGCAUCUGAGAUUCUUACGAACAUACAUGAUGGGCAGUAUAAGCAACAGCUGCGAAUCUCAAAUCCCUUAACAUUACUAAUACUGCUAGCAUAAGAAACCGAAAUCUAGAACAACAUACCGAACCCGAAUCCCUCAUCUCAGGAAGCAAAAGAAAACUGGACCUCAUGAUUUCUUUUGCCUCCAAAUCGAA